GACGAACGCUGGCGGCGUGCUUAACACAUGCAAGUCGAACGAAGUGGCGCACGGGUGAGUAACGAGUAAUAAACCUGCCCUUCAGAGGGGGACAACAGUUGGAAACGACUGCUAAUACCGCAUACUGAAGGAGGGGAUUGCGUCUGAUUAGCUAGUGGGAGGGGAAACGGCCCACAAAGGCGAUGAUCAGUAGCCGGUCUGAGAGGAUGACCGGUCACACUGGGACUGAGACGCGGUCCAGACUGCUACGGGAGGCAGCAGUGGGGAAUAUUGGACAAUGGGCGAAAGCCUGAUCCAGCCAUGCCGCGUGUGUGAAGAAGGGCUUCGGAUUGUAAAGCACUUUAAGUUGGGAGGCGUUACCAACAGAAUAAGCACCGGCUAACUUCGUGCCAGCCGCCGCGGUAAUAC
rnacentral:rRNA from 1 species